rnacentral:rRNA from 1 species
CUGCUUCUACUUUCUGUAUGGAGCUGGGAGCGUCUGCCUGUUGGACGCCCGAAGAGCGUCAGGUUUGAUCCUUGGUAUGCAGAUGAACAUGACGAAUUACGGUGCCCCACGUGGGCUUACAAGUGGGAUAUCGUUUCCGAGAUGACGAACGAUGUCAAUCUCAUGUACCAAAAGUACAUUGCCGAAUUGGACACGAUUACGCCUGAGCAGGUAAGGAGGUCAUUACUUUAG